GGCCUUCUGUAUCCGUGCUGAGAUUUCGUCACACACCAGACCACAAGGGCUGAUGAGAC
rnacentral:pre_miRNA from 1 species